rnacentral:lncRNA from 1 species
GUUUUUUUCUAGUUGUCUUUCCAUUGGAAGAUCUGUGUCUUGGACGGUAUUGUCAUUUCAGAGGCAGGACGACUUUGCAGUCAUCGUGUUCAGACUUCUCCUUUGAAAGCUGAGGAAGCAGAUGGAUAUGGAUGAGAUGAGCUCAUGCUCAGUGCCAAGUGCAGCCCAUGAAGCACAGUGAGGACUCCCUGCGCGGGGACAGCGUGCCAGGCAUUGGGCGGGCCGCAGAGCUGAGGAGGGUGACCUGCUCUGAAGGAGCUCCCAGUACCAGACUGCUGUCGCGAGGGGUGGCCAAGGGGGCCUGGGGCGAGAGACCUAGUUCCCAUUUCAGAUGUACCAUAGAGUGAUUCAACCAUUCUGGAUAUUACGCAGCAUCGAACAUGAUGGGAUGACGAGUAUGAUAAUUUUGAUGAACUGAUUGAUUGAAGAAGAAACCCGCGAAGGCAAAAACGCCAGGGCCCACGAAAGUCACAACAGGGCCCUGCCAGCCUUGCAUGGAGCCCACAUGGGGCUCUGGGCCUCCUAGUUUCACUUCUCUUCUCAGUGGUCUUCUCAGCAUGGACGGGAGAGAAAUCGCAGGGUCACACCCUGUUCCUGGAGCACUUCUAUCAGGACAGCUGCUUAUCUCCUCGGAGCACUCUCUUCCUCACUAGCAUCAAGGCGAGAUGAAACGCAACCAUCCUAAUCUGGAAUAAGAGUUCAGCUGGUAUUAGUUCUCUUUUCCAGCUGCCUCCUAGUUGCAGAAGUGGCCAGAAGCCGUAUCUGAAAUACAGACUACGCAGGAAAGUAGCAUGUAAAAGUCAUAACCAAAUGACUUGACCAGAGCCACCCAAAUAAAAAGGUAUUUUAUUUUCAGGCAACACUGAACUCAUGCCCUGAAUUUUUGCCUGUAAUCUUUUGAAAUGUAUGUGGGGUCCUGGUUUAGGAUUGAGUCACUGGGUCUAGAAACAGAGUGCUUGGGUUGGAACUUGGUUCAAUCACUUACAAGCUGUGGAACUUGGGCAGUAAGUAGACUUCUCUGGGCCUCGGUUUUCUCAUCUGUGUAGUGGGAGUAUUCACUGUAAUGGACCUUAUCCAGUUGUUUUGAGGAUUAAAUGAGUUAAACAACGGGAGCUUCUAGAAUAGAGCCCAGCAUAUGGUGUGAAC